CACGUAAGGCGCAAGCGUUGUCCGGAAUUAUUGGGCGUAAAGAGCUCGUAGGCGGUCUGUUGCGUCCGCUGUGAAAUCUCGGGGCUUAACCCCGAGCCUGCAGUGGAUACGGGCAGACUAGAGGUAGGUAGGGGAGAAUGGAAUUCCCGGUGUAGCGGUGAAAUGCGCAGAUAUCGGGAGGAACACCGGUGGCGAAGGCGGUUCUCUGGGCCUUACCUGACGCUGAGGAGCGAAAGCGUGGGGAGCGAACAGG
rnacentral:rRNA from 1 species